UGGAUGUUGGUCUAGUUCUGUGUGGAAGACUAGUGAUUUUGUUGUUUUUAGAUAAUUAAAUUGACAACAAAUCACAGUCUGCCAUAUGGCACAGAUCAUGCCUCUACAG
ensembl:miRNA gga-mir-7-1 gga-mir-7-1